AUUGAACGCUGGCGGCAGGCCUAACACAUGCAAGUCGAGCGGAUGAAGGUAGCUUGCUACCUGAUUCAGCGGCGGACGGGUGAGUAAUGCCUAGGAAUCUGCCUGGUAGUGGGGGACAACGUUUCGAAAGGGACGCUAAUACCGCAUACGUCCUACGGGAGAAAGUGGGGGAUCUUCGGACCUCACGCUAUCAGAUGAGCCUAGGUACGAUUAGCUAGUUGGUGAGGUAAAGGCUCACCAAGGCGACGAUCGUUAACUGGUCUGAGAGGAUGAUCAGUCACACUGGAACUGAGACACGGUCCAGACUCCUACGGGAGGCAGCAGUGGGGAAUAUUGGACAAUGGGCGAAAGCCUGAUCCAGCCAUGCCGCGUGUGUGAAGAAGGUCUUCGGAUUGUAAAGCACUUUAAGUUGGGAGGAAGGGCAGUAAGUUAAUACCUUGCUGUUUUGACGUUACCGACAGAAUAAGCACCGGCUAACUUCGUGCCAGCAGCCGCGGUAA
rnacentral:rRNA from 1 species